rnacentral:rRNA from 1 species
UACGUAGGGGGCAAGCGUUGUCCGGAUUUAUUGGGCGUAAAGAGCGUGUAGGCGGCCAUGCAGGUCCGUUGUGAAAACUCGAGGCUCAACCUCGAGACGUCGGUUGAAACCACCUGGCUAGAGUCCGGAAGAGGAGAGUGGAAUUCCCGGUGUAGCGGUGAAAUGCGCAGAUAUCGGGAGGAACACCAAUGGCGAAGGCAGCACUCUGGGACGGUACUGACGCUGAGACGCGAAAGCGUGGGGAGCAAACAGG